rnacentral:rRNA from 1 species
CGCGUAGGCGGCCACCGCAAGUCAGUUGUGAAAGCUCUGGGCUUAACCCAGAAAGGUCAACUGAUACUGCGGGGCUAGAGUGCAGAAGGGGCAACUGGAAUUCUCGGUGUAGCGGUGAAAUGCGUAGAUAUCGAGAGGAACACCUGCGGCGAAGGCGGGUUGCUGGGCUGACACUGACGCUGAGGCGCGAAAGCUAGGGGAGCGAACG